rnacentral:rRNA from 1 species
GACGAACGCUGGCGGCGUGCCUAAUACAUGCAAGUCGAACGCACUCUCGUUUAGAUUGAAGGAGCUUGCUCCUGAUUGAUAAACAUUUGAGUGAGUGGCGGACGGGUGAGUAACACGUGGGUAACCUGCCCUAAAGUGGGGGAUAACAUUUGGAAACAGAUGCUAAUACCGCAUAAAACCUAACACCGCAUGGUGUAGGGUUGAAAGAUGGUUUCGGCUAUCACUUUAGGAUGGACCCGCGGUGCAUUAGUUAGUUGGUGAGGUAAAGGCUCACCAAGACCGUGAUGCAUAGCCGACCUGAGAGGGUAAUCGGCCACACUGGGACUGAGACACGGCCCAGACUCCUACGGGAGCAGCAGUAGGGAAUCUUCCACAAUGGACGAAAGUCUGAUGGAGCAACGCCGCGUGAGUGAAGAAGGUUUUCGAUCGUAAAACUCUAGUUGUUGGAGUAAGG